CUGGAAAAUUGUCUUUCAUUAAUAAAAUUCUCUUAAAAAGAGCUAGAGAACUCUACGACAGGCUUUUGGAUAGAACAAAGCAUGUUAAGGUUUGAAUUAGUUAUGCUGAAUUCGAGGCGUCUGCUGAGGAAAGCCUGGACUCAGCCGAAUGCCUUGAACGAAGCAAAGGAAUAUUUGAGAGAGCCAUAAAUCACCAUUUUUGAACAUCAGCCCCGGAUCUGAAAGAAGAGAGAGAUAUGCUGUUGGAGAAGUGGUUGGAUGUUGAACGCAAAUUUGGAGAGUUGGGUGAUGAGAGUUUAGUCCGUUCGAAGAUUCCAAGAAACUAAAGAGGAGACGGCAGAUAGGAGCGGAGGAUGGUUUUGAAGGUUACGAAGAAUACAUUGACUACUUGUUCCCAGAAGAAACGCAAGCACCAACUCUGAAGAUACUUGAAGCUGCAUACAAAUGGAAAAAGCAGAAGCAAUCAGCCAUUGAUGAAGAAGAAGAUUAGUUCUCUGUUUAGUUAUUUAGUUCAACAUGAAUUUCUAUAUUUGAAUCUAAUUGAACUUGUA